CUCAUAUUUAAGCAAGGAAGCAGGAAGUGGUUCCUUUCCCUUUUGCUCUUCUUCCUGCUCUCUGCUGUGAGCCAUCAUGUGAUCCUGGGGAUGAAGAAGCCAGCGGAAGGUGUCUGAUAAGGGUAUCUGUCCCGCGCGAUCGUCUCGCCAGCAAGAAUGACACAGGACACUCAGAUCCUUCUGCAGUAAAGCUUUAAUGCAUCUUGAGAGACAGAUGAUCAGCUUCCGAUUAGGGAGACCCCGAGCCAAGAAUCCCGUCCCCUUAUAAAGGCUCAUAAGCUCCGAGCAGUGCGUGUACAGCUGGGAUAGGUGGAGAACUCAUCACCCUAUAUGACGCCACUGGAGAGGCAAGAUGAGGCAAGUGGAAAAACACUGGGCACAUGCGCACCAACGUUGUUUACUUGAUCCAGCAGCGGAUGUCAGCGCCAUCUUGUAAUGGCGAAUGUGAGUGCGGCUCCUCACAGGACUUGACAUGGAUUACUUCUAUCCUCUCAUUCCACCUUGAGAAGCAGAAAUCAUCACCAGAAUGUACUGAACAAACUAAGCCACAUAUAUACUCAAGAGCUUGUCAAGUUCAGAGAGAAACCCCAGGAGAAAGGAAGGACAAGAUUCACUGAAAAUAGUAGGUAAACCUGUGGGACAAUUUCCUGAAUAGUGAUUGAUAUGGAGUUCCAAGCCACUAUGUGUGGAUGCCACCCUUGGGCGAGAGAUUCUGGGGUGUACAGGAAAGAAAAUGGAACAAACCAGAAGGAGCAAGUCAGUAAGCAGCACUCCUCCAUGGUCUCAGCUUCAGUUCCUUUCUUCAGCUUCCUGCCCUGCUUGAGUUCCUGUCUUGACUCAUCUCAUUAAGGUCUGGAAGGAAAAAUAAACUCGUUUCUUCAAAAGUUCCUUUUGUCGUGAUGCUCUAUCACAGUAAGAAAAAAUAAAUUAAGAUACUGACAAUAGGCAUACUAUUCUUGGAAAUCAGAUAUUUGACUAAGAUAAUAAAUUGGGGACUGGAGAGACGCUUGGCAGUUAAGAUUUCAUACUGUUCUCUCAGAAAAACACAUGGAUUGAUUACUAGUACCCACAGUGGCCAGAUCAAUCCAUCUCCAAGGGAUGAAAUGUCUCCAGCUUUGAAGGCAUGGAUGUUCAUGUGUGCAUACCCCCACACAGAC
rnacentral:lncRNA from 1 species